rnacentral:lncRNA from 1 species
UCAGUUGUAACACAGUGAGCAGGAGAGAUAACACGUAUCAAGAUGUUCAGAAGGACGUUGCUGUUCGCCUUUUCUCUGCUGGUGUUCGCGUUGUCUGCGGUGGCCCAGUCCAACAAUGGCCGCGGACCCAACUCGCUCCCUGGCUUCAGGAGCAGAUUCGGCCACAGGGGGAGACUUGGACUUUUGAAGCCUCACUUUGAUGACCGCUUCUGGCACGAUUUUGACAUCUAUGGCUUCACGAGAACCGGAUAAAAGGCAGCCACAAGAAACAAGGCUUUUGAAUCCAGCCCACCAAACCUUAGAAAUUUCAAAGAGAAAAAAGGCCGUUUUAGAGUCUAAUUCAACAGGAGCAAAUCUACCGAGGAAGGAAUUCAUUGGCAUCGCUGUAAUAAUCUGAUAAUCAUUCUGUUCAGGGAUUUAUAUUAUGCGAUUGAAUUUCUCGUGAGAGUCGAGUGUGUAAGGGGACUAGCAGUGCAUGGUAACUCUGUAGUAUUAUUGGUUGAAUGGCUUUUCAGGUCGUUUUGUUUACGAGGAAAAUUUCCCUACUUAUUGAAGGGAAUUUAGUAUUCUUUGUCCUACAUAUAUCAAGUUUCGGUAUACAUAACUUUGAUAUCGAAAAAGGCAAUUUAGAAAGGAGUAGAUUCUGCUUUUCCUAAAAAAGUAGAAAUCUGCACGAUCUUUCGCCCAUUAAUCUGCCUGUACUUGUCUAUGUUUCAAUAUUUUCUCCUUAUGUGUCUCUUUUCAUUCUUUUUUUAUGAAAAUAUUGAUGAGAUGUAUCAUAGGAGAUCCUUCCGAGGAAAUGCUUAUGUCGUGUUUAUUAUAUGUGAUAUACAAAUGAUGUUAUUAUAUGUUUGUUAUUUAUUUAUGUACCUGUGAUUUUUAUUGUGAAUGUUUGUACGUAUGUGGAUACUUGUAAAGUAUAUAAAAUUAAUAUAAGCCAAAAAUGUGAUUAUACGAUAUAUAUCAAAUUAGUGUAUAUACUGCAAUAAAACAUUAUUUCUUUUU